rnacentral:lncRNA from 1 species
UCCUAGUGUUAGCUUGUCUUUUUAAAAGUAUUUUAAAAUGUUUUGUGUAAUCAUACAAUUUUUUUGUUAUCUUUAGUCCAAUCUACACAGCCUACCACUGCUGCAUCUUCAUCUGGAACAAGUGUUCCAUCUACAUCGGCUACAACUGGUUGGAGUGGGUAAUUCAUCCUUUUACAUGACAAAAUUGAUACACAGACGCAUCUUGUAAUGGGCGGAAGGGGGCGGCAUACGCCCUCUUUCAUAAAAGCAAUUUAUACACCAAUAG